UACUAUCUUCAAAGGCUUUUGUUGUUGC
rnacentral:piRNA from 1 species